rnacentral:rRNA from 1 species
AGAGUUUGAUCCUGGCUCAGGACGAACGCUGGCGGCAUGCCUAAUACAUGCAAGUCGAACGCUUCUUUUCUACCGGGUGCUUGCACCCACCAGAGAAGAAGAGUGGCGGACGGGUGAGUAACACGUGGGUAACCUGCCCAUAAGUGGGGGAUAACAGCCGGAAACGGCUGCUAAUACCGCAUAAUUCCAGUGAUCUCCUGAUCGUUGGAUGAAAGGUGGCUUCGGCUACCGCUUAUGGAUGGACCCGCGGCGUAUUAGCUAGUUGGUGAGGUAAUGGCUCACCAAGGCAAUGAUACGUAGCCGACCUGAGAGGGUGAUCGGCCACACUGGGACUGGGACACGGCCCAGACUCCUACGGGAGGCAGCAGUAGGGAAUCUUCCGCAAUGGACGAAAGUCUGACGGAGCCUUUCCGCGUGAGUGAAGAAGGUUUUCGGAUCGUAAAAGUCCCAAGAGAAGAACAAGGAUGAGAGUAACUGCUCAUCUCCUGACGUAUCUAC